GUCGCACUCUUCACACACCACACUGGCGGCACCUUUGAAAAUCGGAAGAGGUGGCGAAGGCGUGGUUUCGCCGUUUUGUAUCUUUGGUACCUUUGUAACGCCUCGAAAAUGGUGUCAGUUAUGCAAAAGUGUCACGUAUAAUGGAGCUAACAAGAACGUGAAUUCAUUGCCUGUCAGGCGAAGAAAUACGCGUUUUUCGUGUCGCGCACGAUCAACAUUUUUUUCACGCAGAGGACGAUUUGCUUCAUCGAAGAUGUCAGGCUCACGUCGCAGAUUAUAUGGUCAAGGAGUGACAUGGAAUGGACAGGAUGGAAGUGUCAAGGAUGAAAAGUAGGAAUACACUGCACGGCACCAUAUCAGGAUUACACCAACUUACCUGACACCGGUUGUUCUCAGACACAGGCUCGUGAAUGUAGAGUAUGUCCAGGAAGAAAUACUGUGACUGCAUCUUCAACUUCAACGUCUGAAAAUAUUUUGACAAGGAGGAUAAAUAUAGAAACAACUGAAUCUGGGAACAAAAGCAACUACUGAGUGUAAUCUCACAUAGUAAAGAU